rnacentral:rRNA from 1 species
AAUGAACGCUGGCGGCAGGCCUAAAACAUGCAAGUCGAGCGCCCUAGCAAUAGGGAGCGGCGCACGGGUGAGUAACACGUGGGAAUAUGCCUUUUGGUACGGAACAACCUCGGGAAACUGAGGCUAAUACCGUAUGGUCCCUUCGGGGUAAAGAUUUAUCGCCAAAAGAGUAGCCCCGCGUUGGAUUAGCUAGUUGGUAAGGUAACGGCUUACCAAGGCGACGAUCCAUAGCUGGUCUGAGAGGACGAUCAGCCACACUGGGACUGAGACACGGCCCAGACUCCUACGGGAGGCAGCAGUUAGGAAUAUUGGACAAUGGGCGCAAGCCUGAUCCAGCCAUGCCGCGUGAGUGAUGAAGGCCUU